rnacentral:tRNA from 1 species
GUCUCCAUUAUCUAAUGGAUGGGAAAGAGGUCUUCUAAACCGUUGGUAUAGGUUCAAAUCCUAUUGGACACA